UGGCCUUGAACACUGCCAGGGAUGGGGCAGCCACAGCUUCUCUGGGCACCCUGUGCCAGCGCCUCAGCACCCUCACAGGGAAGAGCUUCUGCUUAAUGCCUAAUGUAAAUUUGCUUUCUUUUUUGCCUUUUCUUUUUAUUUCUACCUGUUCUGCUCUUGGUCUCAGCGUUACCUGACCUCCUGCUCCAUACACCCUGAUCUACACCAUACUCGCUUUUACCAAGUUCCUCACCUGGGGCUGAUGUUACCAGGACUUGCUUACAUUUCUGUGAGCUUUUCCAGGCUCCUGGACUGCAGACAGUGCUCAUGUGCUGACAGCAAUUUGUAUUAAGAUGCCAGGAGCAUAGACAGGGGUUGCUGUGUUCCCCAGCAAACAUCAGUGUAUUCCAGAGCUGAACCAUGGCCCCAGUGAAAACACUAGAUCUCAGUUUGUCUCAGUAGGUCUGUAUGGGUCCAUGUGGUGCUGGAGCUAAGUUAUUGCUCUAUUCCUUCUCUUUUACAUGACCUGAGUGUUUUAGUGCCGUUUCAGGUGUCUGCAAAGACAUGGCAGUGUCUGAGUGUACAUUUUGUUUCUUUCCCUGCAGAACAGAGCUCUUCUAACAGCUCUCCAGAGGGCAUUGCUGCUGUUUGUGGCUGAGAUCUUUAAUGAUUUCAUAUUUGUGUCUUCUUUUGAUGGCCUUCCUGAAGUUGCCAACACACGCUGACCCAUGAUUUAAAGACUACAAGUUCUGGAGAAGCUGCUGUAUUCCUAGGCACAAAAGCUGACUUGAACAGGGUCAAACAGGGGCACUCUGCUAAUGCUAAUCACAGAAUACACACUCAGUAGCUCUUUGUGGUCCCCAGCUAUUUUCCACUGGUGGUCAAUUAGAGGACUAUAUUAUUUGCAGCAUGUCCCAGGACUGAUAGCAACAAGGUCUACACUUGGAAGAAAAAGGAUAUACUCCUCAGAGGAACAGCUUGUGGCAAUAUAUGGAGUAAUAAACCCAAUAAUGCCACUGGAACAAGGAGCAAAGAUUGGUUUAUGAGACAGCUGGGUGUUUUAAUGGAGAAAUAUGUCAUUAAGGGACAUGGUGGCAAAUCAAGAGAGGUGAGGUGGAGGCUCACAGAAACCACAGAAGCAAGAGAGAUGGGAAAUAGUUUUUUCUUGUUCAAUAAACCCCUACCUCCCUUUUAAUGGCAAGGAGAAAAUGUUCCUCAUGGGAAAGCGUUCUACACAACUUCAUGGAGAUGAGAUGACCACAGCUUCAGCUCACAGACUUGUGCAUGGCAGCCUCUACUGUCCAAUGCUGCUGUGUGGCACCAUUGCUGUGCCUCUGGGCUAUGCGAUGCUCAUGUUGCCAUCAGGAAGUCAUCCAUUUGCUUUUCCCUUCACUCAUCAGCAUCCUUAAGUGACCCACACUUCCUCCCUCAACUCCAGCCCCCUCCUAUACCUUAAUCUCUGCUUGGAAACACCCAACACCAAUUGGAAAGAAAGGUUGAAAAUCAAGAGCAAUGCUUUUAGCCUUUCAUAAGGAUCUAGAACACUUGACCUCUUUUCCUCCCACUGGGUUACUUCUCUCCUUUUAAUAAAUCAAAUAAAACUGUAGAAGCACUGCA